GGGCUCUUAGCUCAGUUGGUAGAGCGCCUCAAUGGCAUUGAGGAGGUCAUCAGUUCGAACCUGAUAGGGUCCACCA
rnacentral:tRNA from 1 species